rnacentral:rRNA from 1 species
GAUGAACGCUGGCGGCGUGCUUAACACAUGCAAGUCGAACAGAAAGGCUCCUGCUUGCAGGGGUACUCGAGUGGCGAACGGGUGAGUAACACGUGGGUGAUCUGCCCUGCACUUCGGGAUAAGCCUGGGAAACUGGGUCUAAUACCGGAUAGGACGAUGGUUUGGAUGCCAUUGUGGAAAGUUUUUCGGUGUGGGAUGAGCUCGCGGUCUAUCAGCUUGUUGGUGGGGUAAUGGCCUACCAAGGCGUCGACGGGUAGCCGGCCUGAGAGGGUGUACGGCCACAUUGGGACUGAGGUACGGACCAGACUCCAACGGGAGGCAGCAGUGGGAAAUAUUGCACAAUGGGCGCAAGCCUGAUGCAGCGGCGCCGCGUGGGGGAUGACGGCCUUCGGGUUAUAAACUCCUUUCGCUAGGGACGAAGCGCAAGUGACGGUACCUGGAGAAGAAGCACCGGCUAACUACGUG